CUAGGUGAUCCGAGCGCUGCGGACCCACCCGUUCCCAUCCCGAACACGGUCGUGAAACGCAGCAGCGCCGACAAUACUGCACUGGAGACGGUGUGGAAAGAUAGGCCAUCGCCUGGG
rnacentral:rRNA from 1 species